AUUGAACGCUGGCGGCAUGCUUUACACAUGCAAGUCGAACGGUAACAGCACUUCGGUGGCUGACGAGUGGCGAACGGGUGAGUAAUACAUCGGAACGUGCCUAGUAGUGGGGGAUAACUACUCGAAAGAGUAGCUAAUACCGCAUGAGAUCUAAGGAUGAAAGCAGGGGACCUUCGGGCCUUGCGCUACUAGAGCGGCUGAUGGCAGAUUAGGUAGUUGGUGGGAUAAAAGCUUACCAAGCCGACGAUCUGUAGCUGGUCUGAGAGGACGACCAGCCACACUGGGACUGAGACACGGCCCAGACUCCUACGGGAGGCAGCAGUGUGGAAUUUUGGACAAUGGGCGCAAGCCUGAUCCAGCAAUGCCGCGUGCAGGAUGAAGGCCUUCGGGUUGUAAACUGCUUUUGUACGGAACGAAAAGCCCUCUUCUAAUACAGGAGGGUCAUGACGGUACCGUAAGAAUAAGCACCGGCUAACUACGUG
rnacentral:rRNA from 1 species